UUGAACUAUUUUGAGAUAAAAUGCCAUUUUUUCGCUGUCAUCCUUGAUCUUCCGUUCCAUUCUCUCCUGAGCGAGCCUUAGAGGGAGACGGCACGCUCACAAUCAGAUAGCGCUAUCAGCCCUCUGCAGCUGCACCGCCAUGUGCCGCUGUGCUCCUAUCGGCAGCCAGCACACAUACAGGCGUACACACAAGCUCCUAAGCACUGAAAUGAAUUCCCCUUUUCUUCUGUAUCCACAGAACUAGCCACAGAAAGGGCUCUGCAAUGCACUCCAUGAUCUAUCUGCACAUCCAGACGCUCUUUCUCUCUUUCGUGCGCGCGUACACAAACAUGGAGAGAUUUGGUCCUUUAUUUUAUUUUUCUUUUUUUUUUUUUAAGUCCCUCUAAUACAGACACACACAGACCGUUAAAGAAGACAGGACAAAAGGACAAGAGGAGAAGCAGCACUGACAUUUAGUUGGGAAUAACUUGCGUCUCCAAAAACUGAAAGUUUAAAACUCGGACUGGUCUGACAGAGUUUAUCUCACGAGUUGCCAUCUUUUAUUUCCUCCCUUAUUAGCUCUGCUCUCUUUUGCAGUCUAAGCUGGGUUUUUUUUUUUCAAAUCACCCUUUGUUCUUUUCUCUUUUGUCCCACUCUUUGCUCCCUAUUAAUGUCACAUUCUCCUGUUUUCUCCAUUGUAAGCAGUGUUUAUCUGAGGAGGCAGUGCUUCUAUCCCCAUCUCUGCCACUCUGCCAGUGUGUCUGCAGCCUGAUAACCCACCGAAGGGGAUUGCGAUGCUCAACGAUGUUGUGGCACUGUCAGCCCACCCACCUCCCAAUCUCUGUUCCUGUAGCCACCAUGCAGCCCCUCACCUGCCCUCAGGCACAAGGAGAAUGCUUCAGAGCACCCGUGCGCCCUCAUCUCAGAUCUGCUCCUUCCAUCCUCCAAAAUAUACAGCAUGGAAAUACCAAGCUCAUGUAAAUGAAGCCAAUGGAAAAACCCUACAAAACCUGCGGUUCCGAGUCAAUCCCCGUGGACUGCCAUAUUAACAUCUCUAACUUUCUAGCAAAAUUUAAUAUGUGAACAGGCUGAUAACUGUAUGCAGGAUGUGUCUGAACUCGCCUGUUUGAACUGUAUCAAGGCCUAAAGCUAUGCUCUAUCUACAGCCAACCAGUCUGCUGUCUAUCUGCUGGGUUUAACCUCCACCAGUUCAACUCACUGAACUAGAUCUCUUGACUGUUUUAAUGUUUGUGCCAUCUGGAGUUUUUAAUGUGGUCACCUUAAGGUAACUGUUGUUGUGAUUUGGCGCUCUAUCAAUAAAAAUAAAUUAAACUAAAUUAAAA